UACAGAGGGUGCAAGCGUUAAUCGGAAUUACUGGGCGUAAAGCGUGCGUAGUCGGUUAUUUAAGUCGGGUGUGAAAGCUCCGGGCUCAACCUGGGAAUUGCAUUCGAGACUGCAUAGCUAGGGUGCGGAAGAGGGAAGCGGAAUUUCCGGUGUAGCGGUGAAAUGCGUAGAUAUCAGGAGGAACACCGGUGGCGAAGGCGGUUCUCUGGGCCUUACCUGACGCUGAGGAGCGAAAGCGUGGGGAGCAAACAGG
rnacentral:rRNA from 1 species